CCCCCACCACAGCACUCAGACUCUGGUCCUCUUUACACGAGUGCACGAGGUUGCCAUCACAGGUGUGUGUGUGUGUGUGUGUGUGUGUGUGUGUGUGUGUGUGUGUGUGUGUGUGUGUGUGUGUUGAUCCGAGGCCCUGCAGCUUUGACACCGCCAACCGAUCAGCAGGCGUUACCGUGACGACAACGAGCUGAAGCGCUGCAAGAAACCGUCUUGACAUCCUCCCGCCUCCAAACAGGAAACCGCAGCGGGGGGAGGAAGCCUCCUCGCCGUCGGCUGCACCUCCAUCGGCCUCGUUUCCUCCAGAGAGAACGCCGCUCUCCUUCACGGGGCGACUUCAGGACUUGUGAUGAGUUGUGACUCUGUUUCUUUCUACGUAUCAUUACAGCUUUGGAGAGAACGAUGUUUUACUUUAAUCUUCUUUACACGAUAUCCACAUCGAUAACAUCUCAUCAAUCAUCAUCUUUGUAGAGAUCCGGAGGAGCAACGUGGACCUGAGCAGAGAAUCAUCUCUCUUCUAGCUGCACGUUGAGCGUUGGUACAGAAACGUGGCCCAACCCUGAAACUCAGGCCCGAUUCCAGUCUGCCCGACCUCUGACCCCCGAGGAACUGAGCGUGAGCGUCUGAGGGCUUCAAACGAGGCUGCAGAUGAACCAAGAUGGCCACCGUCGUUACGGCGUUUUCUCCCCCCGGAUGAGGAUGAGGAUCCUCACAGGCUCCUCCUUCCUCUGGACCAGAACUCUGACGGAGACGCUGAGACGCGACACAGGAAACGUCUCGCUUUAAAUAAUAGUUAGAAAAGUAGUGAUACAAUGUACACAAUGAUUUUUAUUGUUUUUUAAAUGAUUUAUUUGAUCUGAUGUUUCUUUGUAUCAACAUAGUAAAUCUAAUUAUUUGCAUCCAUCUAAAAAUGGAGAAUUAAAUUGGACUCAUAAUGGUUCUUAUCUACAGCGAGUUGUAACUUGGCUUAUUUGAUGAAAUCACACUUUCUUGUUUCUUGUUCUUCCGAGUUUGUGUCCUGAUGGUUGAAAUGUUCUUAUUGAAAGUCGCUUUGGAUAAAAGCGUCAGAUAAAUGACAUGUGAUCAUUUAAUGAUACUUAAUAUAAUUUAGGUGAAUCUGCAGCUUUACUUACUUGGAUCAUUAAUAAUCAGACUUUCCCUCCGUAUUAAUAACACAUUUCCACAAAGUGUAACAAGUUCAUUCUUGUUUAAUAGUUCACAACAAGUCACAAGUCUUCCUUAUGAAAAAGAUAAAUAAAGAUUCUCUUCUCUUUGUGUCUGUUAGUGUUUUAAUUCAAACAUAAAACACACGAUUAUUGAUAAUAAUAAUAAUAAAACUUCUGCUGAAUAUGAAAUGAAAUGAAGCAGAGGAUCCGGCUGAUCUCAGACCAGCAGGAUCAGGAGUCUCUGUCGUCACGUCCGCUCGCAAAAACACUCCCCCCUCCUCCCCUCCUCCCCUCC
ensembl:lncRNA